rnacentral:tRNA from 1 species
UUUAAACCCUAAAUAUGAAUUAAUAAUACAAUUCUUGUGUUA